rnacentral:lncRNA from 1 species
GAGUCUAAUUACUGUAGGAAUCUCGUUGUCGGAGAAGCUCGGAUAUUGACAAAGUCCGAAAGAAGUUCGAAAAAUAGUUGAUCACUGUAGAAGGUCGGCUGAUAGUGAGGCUCAGAGAGCCUUUGGAGCGGCCCGGUAGAUGGAUGGGGAAGCUCAUUGUUGGAGAAGUCCGGAUGGUAUUAUGGAAGCUCGGACAGUCGAGGGGGUUCAGAGAGAUGCCACA